AUAUAGAACGAAGCGACCCUCACCAACUAUUCUUUCGCCUUUUACUAAAGAAGACCGUGUGCGCGCCGCAAAUAGUGGCAUACGCCCAUUUUUGGAGGGGCCCAUCCCAUUAGGGAUGGU